GCUGGAGUAUAGUGGUGCGAUCAUAGCUAGCUGCAGCCUUGAACUCCUCCUCAAGCAAUCCUUCCUCCUUGGCCUCGCAAAGUCCUGGGAUUACAGGCGUGAGCUACUGGGCCUGACCUACAAAAUGUUUUAUGCUUUCGGCCUAAAUAGUGUUCCUUGGAGAGAAAAUUACCCUGGGAAUGAAUAAACAAGAGCAAUGCAAAUGUUUCUUUUACAUUAGAUUCUUGCAGCCCUGGAAAUCCUAAAUAAUAAUCAUGGCAAUACUACAUUUAUAAGACUAAAAGAUAGGAACUCAAGAAAAAUUUGGUCAUAGCAGUUGGUGAAAAAGUGAAUUUAAGAGAAGUGACAAAAAGAACUACUUGGGAUAUCCACGACUGUUACAGAUGCUUCGUGGAGGUUCAAAAAGACUACAGAUCAAGGCCAGUGACCUUCUACACAUGGUGGACACUCCAGCCUCUGCUCAAUCUCCAUCCACACUUAAAGGAAAUAGCCAACUCUUGGCCAACCUUCAGGCCUGGGAAGAGGCUCAAGCAGACACUGAAGACGGACUUAAGUGAGUGAAGCUUUGGCAGGACCAUGUCUCUGAAUGUCUCAUUGGAAGGGUUUCAUCACUGUCCCUGAAAGCCUCCUUCAUCAAGAUUUUUUGAAUGUUGUAUUUCCUGAGUUGACUCUGAUUUUCUAAUCUUUGCUUUUCUGAUUUACAUGUCUGUUUGGUUCUAUAUUCCGAGUAAGUAGCUUGCGUUUGUCUUCCAACUCUUCAAAUUAUUGUUGCAUUUGUGCUUUAUCAUUAAAUGCCAAGAAUUCCUUUUAUAAUUGAUGUACUUUUGAGCUGGUCAGUUUUUAUUAAAAAAAAAAUUUAGAAACUUCUGCUCAGAUAAUCUGUGCUUUAGAUGAUUAUAACAUGUCAUUAAUAAUUUUCUGAUUUUUAUGCUUGUAUUGGCCUUAAAGAUAAUGUCCAUGUUAUAGAAAAUACAAAUUGAGUGUUCAGGAAUAAAGGCCUAACACAUCUUCAAU
rnacentral:lncRNA from 1 species